GAUGAACGCUGGCGGCGUGCCUAAUACAUGCAAGUCGAGCGAACGGACGAGAAGCUUGCUUUUCUGAUGUUAGCGGCGGACGGGUGAGUAACACGUGGAUAACCUACCUAUAAGACUGGGAUAACUUCGGGAAACCGGAGCUAAUACCGGAUAAUAUUUUGAACCGCAUGGUUCAAAAGUGAAAGACGGUCUUGCUGUCACUUAUAGAUGGAUCCGCGCUGCAUUAGCUAGUUGGUAAGGUAACGGCUUACCAAGGCAACGAUGCAUAGCCGACCUGAGAGGGUGAUCGGCCACACUGGAACUGAGACACGGUCCAGACUCCUACGGGAGGCAGCAGUAGGGAAUCUUCCGCAAUGGGCGAAAGCCUGACGGAGCAACGCCGCGUGAGUGAUGAAGGUCUUCGGAUCGUAAAACUCUGUUAUUAGGGAAGAACAUAUGUGUAAGUAACUGUGCACAUCUUGACGGUACCUAAUCAGAAAGCCACGGCUAACUACGUGCCAGCAGCCGCGGUAAUACGUAGGUGGCAAGCGUUAUCCGGAAUUAUUGGGCGUAAAGCGCGCGUAGGCGGUUUUUUAAGUCUGAUGUGAAAGCCCACGGCUCAACCGUGGAGGGUCAUUGGAAACUGGAAAACUUGAGUGCAGAAGAGGAAAGUGGAAUUCCAUGUGUAGCGGUGAAAUGCGCAGAGAUGUGGAGGAACACCAGUGGCGAAGGCGACUUUCUGGUCUGUAACUGACGCUGAUGUGCGAAAGCGUGGGGAUCAAACAGGAUUAGAUACCCUGGUAGUCCACGCCGUAAACGAUGAGUGCUAAGUGUUAGGGGGUUUCCGCCCCUUAGUGCUGCAGCUAACGCAUUAAGCACUCCGCCUGGGGAGUACGACCGCAAGGUUGAAACUCAAAGGAAUUGACGGGGGCCCGCACAAGCGGUGGAGCAUGUGGUUUAAUUCGAAGCAACGCGAAGAACCUUACCAAAUCUUGACAUCCUUUGACAACUCUAGAGAUAGAGCCUUCCCCUUCGGGGGACAAAGUGACAGGUGGUGCAUGGUUGUCGUCAGCUCGUGUCGUGAGAUGUUGGGUUAAGUCCCGCAACGAGCGCAACCCUUAAGCUUAGUUGCCAUCAUUAAGUUGGGCACUCUAAGUUGACUGCCGGUGACAAACCGGAGGAAGGUGGGGAUGACGUCAAAUCAUCAUGCCCCUUAUGAUUUGGGCUACACACGUGCUACAAUGGACAAUACAAAGGGCAGCGAAACCGCGAGGUCAAGCAAAUCCCAUAAAGUUGUUCUCAGUUCGGAUUGUAGUCUGCAACCCGACUACAUGAAGCUGGAAUCGCUAGUAAUCGUAGAUCAGCAUGCUACGGUGAAUACGUUCCCGGGUCU
rnacentral:rRNA from 1 species